UACGUAGGGUGCGGGCGUUGUCCGGAAUUAUUGGGCGUAAAGAGCUCGUAGGCGGUUUGUUGCGUCGGCCGUGAAAACCUGCAGCUUAACUGUGGGCCUGCGGCCGAUACGGGCAGACUUGAGUUCGGUAGGGGAGACUGGAAUUCCUGGUGUAGCGGUGAAAUGCGUAGAUAUCGGGAGGAAUACCGAUGGCGAAGGCAGGUCUCUGGGCUGACACUGACGCUCAUGCACGAAAGCGUGGGGAGCGAACAGG
rnacentral:rRNA from 1 species